GUUCUUCCGCCAGCGCCCAUCGUGAAGACCACAGUUUCCUGUCGCGUGGAUGUGUUUCCUCUCUGGCCAUUGCCAUCCGCCCAAAUCUACAGACAUCCCGCAUGUUCCCGGGCUCGUCUCCCCAAUACAGGGCACCAAGGCUGUAGACUGCGCAGCCCUCCUGGAGACAGAUGGAAGCUCCUUGGGUCGACAGAUUACAGCUUCUGGAACCCCCUACUCCCUUCAACUCCGAGAUGGACACCCACUGUCCAGGGAGAGGAUGCCUGGAAAUAACAGCUGGGAUCUACAGUGGCCAAAGAGUUGUCUCCGUCUUGCUACAUCGACAAACUGGUGCUCCUGAGUGAGGAUUGUGCCCUGGGAUGGGGGAUUCAGUUUCUUCAUUUAUAGUUGGAAGUGGGUGAAGUGCCAGGAGCGACGGUACACUCCAGAGUGCUGUGCCCUGAUGGGCCUUUGAGUGGCCAGUGCAGUGGAUCAUCAGCCCUGUCUCCCAAGAGCUCCAGUCCCUUCUCCGGAGAGGAAGUGGGUCCACUGGCAGCUCAGGAGGCCAUAGCAGGAUUGUCACGUGUGCUCAACAGUCCUCCUCGGCUUUCCAGAAGAGGCUGGAACAGGGCCCUUGAAGGUAUGACUCCAGAUGCCUCACUAGAGAGCUGCAGAGGUCCAGCAAAGGCCCACAGUCAUGAAGAAAAGCUGAGGCUGCUUCCCCACCCGGGCCAGCGGGAACAUGGCUCCUCCAGCCCCUGACACCUCACUUCCCCACAUCUUCAUAGUGUGAAGUAAAGAGCUACACUAGGGUCACAGGAGCCCCUGGGAACCUGCAUGGCUUCAUUGGGUUCUGCAGUUGGCUUGAGAAUGGCUACAAUUGGGGUGCAGUUAGCCUUCUCUGAACUUCUCUGAACUCUGGGCACUUGUUAGGGAGCAGUCCCGUCCCAGACUCAUGAGGACUCGUGAGUCCUCAGAAGUUAACCCCCCCCCCAACUUGUCUUUUUUCAUUCAUUGUCUUAGUAAGAGGCCACUGAAGUAAUGGUUCUCAAAUUGUGGUCUCUGAAGCAACACUACCACCAUCCCUUGGAGUGUGUGAGAGUGGUCCUGCCUGCAGGCAGCAGUAUUUAGCAGCUCUCCAGGGGAUUCAUGGUUGAGAAGAUUGGAGAGUUGGGAAGCUACCUCUGUUACAGGCUAUGUUUGUGGACAUCAGAGGGCCAAAGACGACACAAAGUGAAACUGGAGACACCGCCCCCCCUUGGCAUCAUGAAACUGCCGAUGUUACUGGCUCAUGCAUGGGAGACACCAGCAUACAAAGUCUUGACACCAACACCUCAGAGGGCUGUGUUCUGUCCCCGUGACCAUCAUCUAGUGCCUGGAAAGACUAGUGACAAGAACUUGUUGCCAACUUCCUAUUACCUCCCUAACAGUUGUGCAAUAAACCCCAUAGGUUAAUUCA
rnacentral:lncRNA from 1 species